rnacentral:rRNA from 1 species
GCCUACAUGAAGCCGGAAUUGCUAGUAAUCGCGGAUCAGCAUGCCGCGGUGAAUACGUUCCCGGGCCUUGUACACACCGCCCGUCACACCACGAGAGUUUGUAACACCCGAAGUCGGUGGAGUAACCUUACUAGGAGCUAGCCGCCUAAGGUGGGACAGAUGAUUGGGGUGAAGUCGUAACAAGGUAGCCGUAUCGGAAGGUGCGGCUGGAUCACCUCCUUU